AUAAUUGUAAUCCAACCAUCUAAUCAGUCAAGAAAUCUCUUUUGUGUAUGACUCCAUAGGUUCUUAUUCUGUCUGGUAGUGAGAUAUACCAUAAUCUCUAUCAUAGUAUCAUCGAAACUCUUUUCGAUGGACUAGAACAAUUCCAACUCGUACUCAACAAGGACCAUCGAUCCAAAAACGAUCCGAGUGAGUUGAUCCAUUAGUGAUGCCUAGUAGCAUGUGAUGACAAUCCAGCAGAAUAGAAAGUAAAACCUCUAAGUGUAGUUGUCGUGUGAUUCAGUAUCUCUAUCAUGAAUUCCGACAAGAUGGAGGUCAUGAAAAUUUGUCAAAUCCCAUUAUUCGUCAUAUGAAAAAUUCGAUCAGCUCGAAUUCAAAUUGUGAAAUUCAUAAAAAUACUUUUCCAUCAAUCACCUUGCAGUGGCCACUGACUUAAAGACUCAGCUUCUCAAAUCCUAUAAGACUUCUCCUUAUCUACUAAGGUCGAU
rnacentral:lncRNA from 1 species